AGCAGCAUGGCGCAGUGGUAGCGCGCGGGGCCCAUAUGGAAUUAACCAACGCUACCCCGAGGUCACUUGAUCGAAACAAGUUGCUGCUA